rnacentral:rRNA from 1 species
ACGAACGCUGGCGGGCGUGCCUAACACAUGCAAGUCAAGGACCGUAGCAAUACGGACUGGGCGCACGGGUGCGGAACACGUAGGUAAUCUGCCCUUUAGGGGAAGAACAACCCGUCGAAAGGACGGGGCGUAAAAACUUCGGUAACAUCGAGAAAAGGCAUCUUUUCUCGAUCAAGGCUUUCUAAAGGAUGAGCCCUGCGUCUGAUUAGCUCGUUGGCGGGGUAACGGCCCACCAAGGCUACGAUCAGUAGCUGGUCUGAGAGGAUGAUCAGCCACAUUGGGACUGAGAUACGGCCCAGACUCCUACGGGAGGCAGCAGUGAGGAAUAUUGCUCAAUGGGGGGAAACCCUGGAAGCAGCAAACGCCGCGUGAGGGGGUGAAGGGGCUUCGCCUUGUAAACCUCUGUAGUUCGGGGACAAAAACUGGGGGUUACUACCCCAUUGAUGGUACCCGAAAAAGUAAGGAAUCGGCUAACUACGUGCCAGCAGCCGCGGGUAAUUACGUAGGAUCCAAGCGUUUGUCCGGAUUUACUGGUGUGUAAAGGGUGCGCAGGCGGACUGGUAAGUCAGGGGUGAAAUCUCAUCGCCGCUUAACGGCGAAACUUGCCUUUGAUACUAUCAGUCUUGAGUCCGGUAGAGAUCUGUGGAAUUCCGAGUGUAGCAGUGAAAUGUGUAGAUAUUCGGAAGAACACCAGUGGCGAAGGCAGCAGAUUGGGCCGGGUACUGACGCUCAGGCCACGAAAGCAUGGGGAUCAAACAGGAUUAGAUACCCUGGUAGUCCAUGCCCCUAAACGAUGUACAUUUGAUGUCGGCCCUCAGGGUCGGCGUCGGAGCUAACCGCGUUAAAUGUACCACCCUGGGGAGUACGCCUCGCAAGGGUGAAACUCAAAGGAAUUGACGGGGGGCCCGCCACAAGCAGUGGAGGCAUGUGGUUCAAUUCGAUGCAACGCGAAAGAACCUUACCUAGGCUUGAAAGGCCGUCUAAAACCUGUGGAAAGCAGGGUACCCCGCAAGGGGGGGCGGUAACAGGUGCUGCAUGGCUGUCGUCAGCUCGUGCCGUGAGGUGUUUGGUUAAGUCCAGCAACGAGCGCAACCCCCUGGAUUCAGUUGCCAGCCACAUAAUGGUGGGAACUCUGGAUCGACUGCCUACGCAAAGUAGUGAGGAAGGUGGGGACGACGUCAAGUCCAUCAUGGGCCCUUACGCCUAGGGCAAACACAACGUGCUACAAAUGGCAUCUACAACACGCGCAGCAAUACCGUGGAGGUGGAGCGAAUCGCUAAAAAAGAUGUCUCAGUUUCAGAUCGGAGUCUGCAACUCGACCUCCGUUGAAGUUGGAAUUGCUAGUAAUCUUCGGGGGUCAGCCACACCCCGGUGAAUACGUUCCCGGGCCUUGUACACACCGCCCGGUCACGCCAUGUGAAAGGUGGGAGUACCCGAAGUCGCCUUAUAAGCGCCGAAGGUAUGACCACUGAUUGGGGCG